AGUGAACGCUGGCGGUAGGCCUAACACAUGCAAGUCGAACGGCAGCACAGUAAGAGCUUGCUCUUACGGGUGGCGAGUGGCGGACGGGUGAGGAAUACAUCGGAAUCUACUUUUUCGUGGGGGAUAACGUAGGGAAACUUACGCUAAUACCGCAUACGACCUACGGGUGAAAGCAGGGGAUCUUCGGACCUUGCGCGAUUGAAUGAGCCGAUGUCGGAUUAGCUAGUUGGCGGGGUAAAGGCCCACCAAGGCGACGAUCCGUAGCUGGUCUGAGAGGAUGAUAAGCCACACUGGAACUGAGACACGGUCCAGACUCCUACGGGAGGCAGCAGUGGGGAAUAGUGGAAAAUGGGCGCAAGCCUGAUCCAGCCAUACCGCGUGGGUGAAGAAGGCCUUCGGGUUGUAAAGCCCUUUUGUUGGGAAAGAAAAGCAGCAGGUUAAUACCCCGCUGUUCUGACGGUACCCAAAGAAUAAGCACCGGCUAACUUCGUG
rnacentral:rRNA from 1 species